rnacentral:rRNA from 1 species
CCUACGGGCGGCUGCAGUGAGGAAUAUUGGUCAAUGGGCGUAAGCCUGAACCAGCCAAGUCGCGUGAGGGAUGAAGGUUCUAUGGAUUGUAAACCUCUUUUAUAAGGGAAUAAAGUGCGGCACGUGUCCCGUUUUGUAUGUACCUUAUGAAUAAGGCUCGGCUAACUCCGUGCCCGCAGCCGCGGUAAUACGGAGGAUCCGCGCGUUAUCCGGAUUUAUUGUGUUUAAAGGGUGCGUAGGCGGCCUUUUAAGUCAGCGGUGAAAGUGUGUGGGUCAACCAUGGAAUUUCCGUUGAGACUGGGGGGCUUUAGUGUGUUGGAGCGAGGCGGAAUGCGUGGUGUAGAGGUGAAAU